rnacentral:rRNA from 1 species
GUACCCUGGUAGUCCAUGCCGUAAACGAUGUGUACUAGCCGUUGGGGCCUUUGAGGCUUUAGUGGCGCAGCUAACGCGAUAAGUAGACCGCCUGGGGAGUACGGUCGCAAGAUUAAAAUUCAAAUGAAUUGACGGGGGCCCGCACAAGCGGUGGAGCAUGUGGUUUAAUUGGAUGCAACGCGAAGAACCUUACCUGGCCUUGACAUAGUAGAAACUUUCCAGAGAUGGAUUGGUGCCUUCGGGAAUCUACAUACAGGUGCUGCAUGGCGGUCGUCAGCUCGUGUCGUGAGAUGUUGGGUUAAGUCCCGCAACGAGCGCAACCCUUUUCCUUACUUGCCAGCAUUUCGGAUGGGAACUUUAAGGAUACUGCCAGUGACAAACUGGAGGAAGGCGGGGACGACGUCAAGUCAUCAUGGCCCUUACGGCCAGGGCUACACACGUGCUACAAUGGUCGGUACAAAGGGUUGCUACCUAGCGAUAGGAUGCUAAUCUCAAAAAGCCGAUCGUAGUCCGGAUUGGAGUCUGCAACUCGACUCCAUGAAGUCGGAAUCGCUAGUAAUCGCGGAUCAGAAUGCCGCGGUGAAUACGUUCCCGGGCCUUGUACACACCGCCCGUCACACCAUGGGAGUUUGUUGCACCAGAAGUAGCUAGCCUAACUGCAAAGA